GAAAUUAUUAUAAUUACCUGGUGACAAAUUUUAAUUAAGUUGUAUUUCUUUUACAGGACGACAGUACAGUUUUCUAGUUAAAGAGUAAAUCCUCAAUUUUUGGUGUUCAAACGCUUAAUCUGUUAGCUUGGUUAUUUAUUGCUUGUGUGAUUUCACCCUUUUGUUUUGGUAAUCCGUUGUUACAAUCCCAUAGUAUUCAAUGGUAGUUGUUGUCAAUGAAUUUUUGCUCAUUCGCUAAUGAGACUUUGUCAAUUGGUGAUCCUUGAUUGUCAAAAAGAUAAGGAAAGAGGCAAACUUGUCUUUGUUGUAUUGAUCCAUCAUUAUCAAACCUUUUAUAAUACCCAAGAUGACCAGUUUAACGCAUUUAACUUUAUUAAAGUUAGAGGAAGCUGAAAAACUCAAUUACAACCUAUUUUUUGUCAAAUUUCACCUCAACAUGGAUAUAAGCUUUCCUUUGAUUUUUUAUUGUUUGGUUAAAGAAGAAGGUUCAAAUUGCCGGCAAGGUCAUGUUAAAUGUCAAGAGGUCCGUAUCUAACCACAUGGGAAUUUGUGGAUGGCUUAGCGAAUGUUUCAAAGGCUUGCGAGAAUGCUGAUUAGGGACAAAGUAAUUGUUACCUUUGAAUGAAUUGGAUUUGCGUCCUUUUGUAAUGAUUUACUGGCCGUGGCGAUACAAACUGAAGCUACAAUGUGCUAUAGAAAUUUUGGAAAAUGUUACCUGUGAAGAAUAAUUACUAGGUUUUCGGUAAAUCUAUGAUAAGACGAUAAUGUUUGGUUCCAUCCCAUUGAAUGGAAAUGAUGAAAUGGUUACGAUAUUAAAACCUUGGCAACAUUUACCACUUUUGUUUGCAAACAACCUGCUUCACUGAAAUCUAAUCAAACUCAAUCAAUACAGCUAAUUGGAUUCACCUUUUAAUAGUAAUCAGGAUCAAUUAAUAUCAUCCUGGAUGUGCAUCAAGAAACAAAGGAAGUUUAGCUUUUUUUUCUGCAUCCAAACUAAAGUCAAUUUGUAUAUUUACUCCACCAUUUUCAUUUCAAGAAUUGAGGGCGGAAAAAAUAUCCAAUAGGGAGGAUAAAGAUGAUGGCGAAAGCAUAAAUGAACAAGCAAGGAGGAUAAGUUAAAAGGUGAAGGGAAGAGAACGGAAGUUGUGAAGCACUAGGCUCGUGUCUCAACGCGUCACAUCACUUGACCUCGACCCGUAAAGAUCUCAUAAACCUACUGCACUGUGUAAAGUUUUCACUCUACAAUUGACAAAUUUCGUCUUCAUUUACUUCAUCUUCUUCUUCUUCUUCCUCCUCCUCAACAUCAUCACACCCUCUCCUUCGUACAUUUAACUAGAUACACACGCGAAAAGAGAAAGGAAGUAAGGAUAUAAAAGUGUAUAUGGAAAUUAUAAUUGCAUUCCUGUUAUAACCAGUGUUCCAAGAGCCAGAUGAUUUUGGGUGACCCUAAAGGAAACUUUUUGUCCCAUUCGUAUGACCCCAACACGAUCCAAUGAACAGUUACAGUCAGUUAAUAAACAGGAACCUUUCCUUUAUUUUGCCCAAAAAGCAUCACUGAUUCAACUUUGAAUCCAGUUGUUGUUUUUUUUCUUCCUUUUCUUCUUCGCCUGCAAAAACAAAGAACUGAUUGUCCAAUUAUUGUCGUACUCAAAUUAACAAUCAUUCAACUGUAAAGCUGAUUAAUGUUAAUUUUGUUUGCAACCAAGUGUGAUAAAGUUAACACCCAUCUUUACUUAUUUCAAUAUUUUUUCGUAUUACUUAUUAAUUGUGAAACGGUUUUCCAUUUUCUUCACAAUUUAAUUCCCUCUAAAUUGCUAUUUACCUUGUUGUUUUUUAUAAUCAUAAUUGAGCUUCAUCAGUUUCCAAUGCCUAAUGGAUAGCAUCAGAAAGCAUUGUUAGACAAAAAACAAGAAAUUGACCUUCCAACAGUUGAUAACAUGAUUAUUGAAGUGACAAUAUUGUUUUAAAUAUUUGAUUGUUCACAAUCACAGUCAAUAUUUCAUGCCAAAUAAUCAAUCUAAUCACCAUUUUACAUAAUUUAGCUCACAUUGAGUGCAACAAAAUCAAACAGUCAACGAAGGAAACCCCAAUAAAUUUAAUUUACUCAACUCUUUCAGAGUAAUGACUCGGUCCAUCUCAAGGCUGAUUGUCAUUACCAACCGCAAUUACCAUUCCCCAUCUCAAAACAAAAACUUGACACUAACACAAGACGAUUAAAUAUUCAUAUUAAUCAUUUUGUCAAACUUGACUGUAUCACAAUGUUUAUCAAAUUGUUGAAAAGUUGAACACGAAAUUUGAUCGUUUCAUUUUAUCAAACAAUCAAAACAAUCAACGUUCAACAAGACGCAAAAAGGCUCUAAAAAAUAGCUAAAUAGUGAAAAAUUUGCAUCGAUUAGAUCUUGAUUUAAUUAUUUAAUUUCUUUCACCAAAAUAAUGACCAAAAUUUAAAGCUAAACGAGAUAAAUGUGAUUCUUGUUAACCUAAACAAUAUUAAGUUAGCCACGCGCUCAACACUAAUUCAUCUUCCUUGCCUCCUCUCCUCAUCAACAUCUGUAUCAGCAUCUUGUUUCCUCUCCACUAUCACCAUCAUCCUCAUCUCUCUAUUCAUACCAAUUUGCCCUUUUAUUUUUGACUCCCUGACUUACACUCAUUUUCUUCUUCUUUUUUCUUCUUUCAGAUGACAAUCAUGGCGAUGAUGAUGAUGAAAAUGAUGUACUUUUUCAGAGGCUUUUCCCUUGCUUCAACAACACUGGAAUCAAUAUACAGAAAAAGGAUGAUCAAGAUGAUGAUGAAAGACAACAUUUGGCAGACUUGAAGUAUAUUCCAAGUGAAUGUAUCUUAAGACACCUUAAGAAAAACAUUGGCUCUUCUACUUUUCUCCUUCUCUCUUUCCUCCUCUUCUUCCAUCUCUCCCUCUACACUAAUGUUUCGGAUGGUUUCACCGUCUUAAUCUAACCUCAUGUCUCCAUUUGCUUGACUUUUCCUUCUUAUUCUUAUUCUUCUUUUUCUUCUUCUUCUUCUUCUUGUUUUCGCAUUUUCUUAUAUUUUUUCACUCAGGAUAAAGCAAUGGAUUCAAUAGAGGCAAAGAUUCAAUUGACAAUUUAAAUCUACUUGCAAACCAAUAUUAUUCAAUUUGAUCUUUGUUGAUAAACUGUGAUUCGUGAUUUGAAACUUGUAAUUAACAAAUAGACUUUUUUUUAUUGGCCCGACCAGUUUACUCAUCAUCCUUAACGCCACCACUUCCAUCAUCAUCAUUAUCAUUAUCAAUUCCCGGGCAUUUUAAUCAAUUCCUUGGCAAUGGGUACAUUAAUUAUUUUCAAUACCCGAUUACACAUUAAUCACAACACUAAUAAAAGAACAAUUAAAGAGGAAGAAAAGAGCCCAAAAAAAAGGAAAGGAAAGAAAGACAAUCAUCAUUAUCAUCAACAGUAACCAAAAGAAAUUGUUCCAAUGUAACCUCUCAAUACAAAACGCUUGAGUUGACACAGUCUCAAAGAUGACACUGAAACUACCUGGUAUCAUCUCUCUACCUUUAUGCCUUUCUCUCUCUCUUUAUCAAGUUAACCGAAUCAUUCCUAUCAUUAUAUCAUAUAUAUUGCCAUGGUUCAAUAUCCAAAUGACCUGUAGUGACCUUCAACUUGAAAAGCCUCUCGUUAAAUCGGACAAAAAAAUGGAUAAAGUAAAGGCAAAAAGAAGCUAACAAAACACAAUAUAAAAAAAAAGUAAAACAUUGAUUUAUUGGUCAACAUUGGGAAAACAUUGGAUUACCAUUGCAAAUGUAAUAACGGAAGCUAAUCUUUUUAAUGGCAAUCGAUACCAAUGGUCAGCUUAAAGGGGAGACAGUUGACAGUCAAUUUGGAUCGAGUCCAAGGAGCCAGUUUUUCGGUGAAAGUGGAUCAACGCAAAAAGAUGCACAUAAAUGGAGAGAAAUGUGAUGAAAAGCAGACUAAUAUGUAUUAGAAAGAGCAAAGACUUUGACAGAAAAGUUAACCAAAAAUGAGGUUUGCCUGUUAACUGAAUUGUUUCAUAAAUGGCCGGAAACCGAGUUGAAUUUAUUGCAAAAAUGAUGAAGAUGAAGUGAACGAGAGGAAAAAAAGGGAAAACUAAAAGACUUACAAUGCUAUGAUAAUGUUUUCAUAUGUUGCUAAAGCUCAAUCACCUCACUUCGAGGUCGCCCGGUCAGAAGGUUUAUUUUUGGAUUUACCAUCCUAAUCAUCCUCCUAAUCAUCCUCCUAAUCAUCAUCUUAAUCAUCAUCUUAAUAAUCUCCAAAUCAUUAUGAUCGUUGACAGUUUUUCAAUGUUAAUUUUCACUCCAACCGGACAACUCUUCAACUCUUAUAUUCAACUUUCCAAUUGACAGUUACAACCUUUUCUUGUUGACUUAACUCAAUCACUUUUAAUUUACCUUUAUUUUCCUUGUUGAUUCCGAUUAAUCAUUCAUUUCUAUUUGCUCAUUUAAUUGUAAAACAAUUAACAUUUGUUUGUACCUGUUAUUGACUAAUAUAUUAAUCAUCUUUUGUGUGCAUACAAAAAACAGGUAAACAUCAACAUUGACAUAAAACAACAUAACAAGCAAAUCUGAAAACAAAGUGAACAACUCAAUGGGCCAAGCAAAUUUAUUACAGUUAUCAAUUGUAAUAAUCGAUUAAUCAUAUUAAAAACAUUGAAGGUUAACUUAAUUGUUUACAUUGGCUAGUCUAAUAAUACAAUGAAAGAGUGAAAAUCAAGACAAAAAAAGAAGGUGAAUAAACAUGAUUAACGGGUUUGUCAUAUAAACAUUACAAUGUCAAUAGCAAAUUAUUGUAAG